rnacentral:lncRNA from 1 species
UAAUAUUCCUGAAACUCAAGUCAAAGGCUAGUUUGGAGCACUUCCUGAAAAACAGAACCAUGUAAUCAGCAACUAUAGACCUCAUUUGGUGCGACAAAUGUCUGUAACAUUCAGUGAAACGCAGUUUCGUGUACUUCUUGCAAUUAGGAAAUAAUUCUUGACUAUUGGCUUCUACCAGCUUCUGGAGGUCAACUAGUUCUUUAGGAAGCUCAACAGAACUAUCAUCUUCGAAAUCCCCUCUAUCAUCUAAAGCACAAGCUAGGUCUCUAAGCAAUUCAGAUAUGUCAUCCUCUUCACUAGACUCUUCCACAGGACCAGGACCAGCACCAUCAACAUUAUCGGUAUUCACAUAAGAGGAACUAGCUUCCCCAUGCAAGUUCCAAGUUGUGUACCCCUUUAGAAACCCAUCACAUAUCAAGUGCUCUCGUAUAUCACUCGAGUCUCUCCAAAAUGAAUUAACACACUUUCUGCAAGGGCAUAGUAUCUUGUCCCCUACCGCUGAAUUUCUAAAUGCAAAAGCUAGGAAACUGUUGAUCCCUUGCAAAUAUGCCUUUGUGUGCCUAGCAUCACUAUUGAUCCAUAUUUUAUCCAUAAGUAUUUGUGGGGACUGAGCAUGUACCUGCAGUACUUCGAUCUGUUGACUGCAAGCAAUGAGAAGAGAAUGACGUCGAUGUAGCAGAUCUACAACUCACUGGGGUUAGUGGGCCAGCUCCACAAUACUUUCACCUAGGGGGCUGAAAUGAAUGAGAAAGAACAAAUCAAUUAUGCCAGCUUCUGCAUGAUCUCUUGAAGUUAGACAUGCUGGAUGAUCUCAAAUAUAAGUGACACAAACAGAUUCAGAAAACAAGAAAAAUAAUUUAUUUCGUAGCUAGCAUCUGUGAUGGAAAAUAAGUGAAACAGAGAAUAAUCAGAAAGCAUGUGUGAUGCAGCCUCACAAUUGGUACCAUCACUAAUAAAUAGCUAGGAACAUAACCACUGCACAGAAUCACCAAUCGCCACCAUAAGAAAAUAAAGAAGCUUAUUUUUAGCUUUCAACACUUGCCAACUUAUGUACAGAUCAGCUCAGCAUCCUCUAAUAUAUCUCCCAACUUAUGUACAGAUAAUUAAGUUGUUUCAAAUUAUUGUUUCAGGCUAUGCAAAUAAAUUCAUGGCUAGUAAAAUUUAAAGCAGCUUUCCUUAAAAAGCAGAAGAUGGCUGUACCUAUCCUGCAAGUUAUAUGCCCAUUGCUUACAAAAAUAACUAAUGAAGAUGAUGUUUUCUAUUCUAUAUAAAUGGGCAGCAAGCAAUCAACCUUUUCCAUAAUUGUUUAGGUUGGAAGGUAAAUUUGGCAAGACAAUAAAUUAAUUCAUUGGUUCUUGCAGGAGAAGUCAUAUGACGCUCUUGCAGCAUUCUGCGAGGACAUGGGUGCAGAUAUCCUACCAUAUCUAGAGCCCCUGCAGAUUGGUUGCCUUUGUAGAGUAGUACUCGGAACUUGCAAGAGACGUGUGGCAUGUAUGUAGUAAUUCUGCAUAGCAUACUACUUGGCUUCUAACAGAAUUAAUCUGUACAGAAUCUGCUAUUAUGUUUUUCCCCUACAAUAAAGCAAGUUCCGAAACCCACAAAUCCAAGUCUUAAAAUAAAGAAAUUUCUUUAACCUAUCAAUUGUGCUACUCAAGAAAUUUUUACCUACAAUCUGAGCUCCAAACACAAUUAGGGUAGAUGGAUCAUUUUACAAAUUCCCAAAUACCAGAACAUUGAGUUGAGAUAAAUAAAAAGAAAAUGGCAUUGCAAUCUGAAGGCUUCAAGCUCGGCACCAAAAUAAGUUCCCUUUCUAUCAACUACCUCACUAGUCGAAACAAGCCGAAAUCCAGGCAAUUCAAACUCUAAGUUAAACAUGUUACCCAAUCUCACCAUUUCAGACGUCUAUACAAGUUUAUGGUUGUGACUUGAAUAAGAUAACAAAAAAAUGGAGUCUAUCAAAAUACCAGAACAUGUAGAGUUUUUUUUAGAGCAGAACAUGUAGAAUUGAGAUAUCACUCAGCAUUACACGAGUGACCAUAUGAUUAUCUUGACUCAUCAGAAAAAAGAAACGAAAGCCUAAAUUCUCAGAUAGCAAAUGGCUGUCAAUCCAAUUUACGCACAAGCCUCAAAUAAAGCAAAUCCAUUAACAUGACUCCUCUGCUAUUCAGGAAUUUUUCACCUACAAUCUGAGCUCCAACGCAUCUACGGGAAGGGAGCAACCCAAAAGAAAAGAUGCAGGGAAGGGAGGCACCUACCAAUGGAUCUGCAGCAGAAACUCAAAUCGAAGUCACUGAGAUGCCACACUGCGUGCUCCACCUUGGCUUGCUCCACGGGUGGUGGUUAGCAGCUGGAGGCACCGGGCCCUAGCUUCCUGGUGGACCAGCAGCCAGGUUCUACGGUGGCAGAUGGGCUGGUGGCUGCCUGCGCCGGUAGAGGGCGGGGCUGUGGCAGACCGGAGCAGUCCCCGAUGGCUGGAGCAGGAGGAGAUUUGGGGCACUGAAGCAGGAGGAGAUUUGGAGCACUGGAGAGCAGUGUUGUGUGUUUUGGGGCGGCUGAGCGGGCGAGGCGAGAGUUAGGGGCAGGGCGGGCUAGUUUUCAGGGGAGCUAGAGGGCGGCGGCGGGCAGGACGAAUUUUGGGUGGGUCGGCAGCGCGAUUUGGGAGAAGGGAGAGGCGCGCGGCGGCCGCUAGCGGUCAGGUUCGGCGCCGCGCUUUUUUGGAUUGGGAUUUGGGGGAAGGAGGGUCUAGGGUUUCUGUAGUCGUGGGCAGAGACCAAAGUUACCUGGGAGGGAAUUUGUGACCUGGAAGCGGGCGUGGGGUCCAUUUAUUUUUGCCGACAGAUGGAUUGACUAUAUAACUUGUUUUAGCGUCAGACAAUGUGAUUUUAAAUAUAAAUACCUAUAGGGACAGACAAUGAAUCGCUAAAUAACAAUUUAGCGUCAGAUAGUCUCUGCAUUAUUUUUAGGGACAGAUCCUCCAUCGGCAAAGAUAAUUUUUACCGUCAGAUGUCUGACGGUGAUUUAGUGUUGUGGUGUAGUGGACAGAUACGAUAGAUGCUCAAGGGAAUGGGGGCGAAAAGUAACCAGCAUAAUAUAGUUUCUUUUUCCUUUUUUGAUAAAAUGUGACCAGCUCGAUUGGGAGGUAGGAGUAGUAGUAGUAGUAAAAAGGAAAGAUCGAUCGGUGUGUGUGAAAACUGUGAAUGACAUGAAUAACCGGAAAUUGGUUGUGCCUGCGGUGGUGCUAUUCGCGCAUGUGCGUUGGGCAGUUCUCGUUUUCAGGCAGGCCACUGAUAGCUAGCUGCUGGCAUACGGACUGCAAGUAGGACAGGACUGUCGUGCUGGCCGAUCUACUAGACAGGCCCAGCGCCCUGACCAGAUCGAUCUCGCGCGACUACUCGCAGUAUAAUCACGUCUCGCAGUCUCGCACAGGUCCAUGACAACACAUGAGCGAACGAACCGAACCCGUCCGUCCGUCCAUCGCAUCACAAUAGACACUCCUCGGCGAUCCCGGCCGGCGUUGCUGGCCGGUCGGAGGGUGCGCGACCGGCCGGUCGGUCGUGGCCGCCGCAUGCAUGCGAUGCAUUGAUGCGCGCCCGCACGGCAGCAAUCAGCAUCGUCGUCUAUAUACAGGUCUCCAUCGAACCAACCAACGACGGACGGACGACGAGAGGAGGCCACCAGCAGCGCGCGGCGACCCACGUACUGUACCCACUUGCAUUGCCCUGGCCACGUACGGCGCCAUGGCAUCUCCAUUUAUCGCCGGCCAGCGCGGCGUCGUACUACGGCAGGGACGCUGGACGGGAUGGGGCCACGGCAGAUGGAGGCCGGGGCAACGCCGUACGCGGCCGCAUUUACGGCCGCUCAUGGGCUUCUCAUGUUCCGUUCUGCGGGCGCGGGCCAGCCGAUCCGGCGGAUGGGAUCAGUGGAUCACAUCAAUCAAAUCGCCCGCCCGCCCGCCUGACGCAUGGGAACGUGCGUGGCCUGGAGCCUGGAGCCUGAGCCUGACCCGCGCCCGCCUCUCCUCCCGUGUGCAGCUGCAUGCAUCGCAGGGCCGGCCGUACGUACCCAGGCCUGUCUGCCGGUGCCGGCCAUCAUUGUGUCGGAGUUGCCGUGAUACACCGGCAGCUGCAAACACCACUAGCGCCAUGGCCAAUUUGGCCAUGCAUGCAUGUGCAUCGCGCUGUCCUGUACGUCCACUCCACGGGUCGUAUUAUUCCCGCCGGUCGCCCCGCCCAGGGUCCGUCCGUCCGCCCGCCCGCCCCCGCUCCGUCGUCGUCGUCGUCGCCUGCUGUUCACCGCGAGCGAUGCAUGUCAUGUGGAGCUUCACGCGAAUCUGACGACCUGUUCGUUUCCGGCUACAGUCGUACGUGUCGUCUCACGUACACCGGCCGGACCCCGGGCUGGGGACUACCGUCCCCGGUCACAGCGUCAGGUUUGUUUUGGUAGCAUGCGAUGCGAGCGCAUGGCCGCCGCCGUGCAAACGCAUGUGAUCCGUUUACAUGGCAGUUUCCCCAUCUCCUGAAUGCAUGCGGUGGUGGGUGCCGGAUGAUAUGCUACAGCUAGCUAAUACACCACAGUCCAGUCCACAGGACACGAUCCACGUACACCAUCACAUGUAGUACCUAUGUAGUACAGUAGCUUUCUUUAGCUUGCCUCAAAACCCUUCUUUUUUCCUCAAGAAAGCGCGAAGAGAGGAUCUGGUUCUUCACAACCUAACAAGCUAGCUAGGUGUUGCAUAUGUCGUCUCAAAAGAAAAUAUGUGCUUUUUUUGUUUGAUUGCGUCGCAUUUGUAGAGUAUAAAUAGCUUCACCUUUGUAUAGUAGUGCUUCAUUUUAAAUAUGACACUUGAUAAUCUUGAUAUAUCGUUUUGAGUAGGAGCUAGGUUAGAGCAUCUUCACUACUUAUAUUUGGACCCAUAUCUAUUUCUCCAAACACAUGGGGCCUCAACUAGUUCUAUUUUAUAUAGUACCAAAUACUACAAAAUGCCACUUUUUUAUACACGACAUAGAAGCACAUGUAAACCAAGGUUGACGAUCGAGUGUUGAGUGCGUGAAUAAAGACAUACAUAGUGCGUGUGUUUUCAUCAUGUCGAAUGAAUUAAAUUUUGUUGCUUGUAUCCUUUAUAUAUCGUCCAUAUGUUACUAACAUGCUAGAGUGAGAGUUUGACCUUAUUUUUUUUGUUCUCUAGCUGAACAACUUCUAUCAUUACAAACUAGUAAUGAGUCUAGCUAUAUCACUUAUCUCAACGGUAAUGAAAUUGUAGUACCUAUGUAUAGUAGCUUUCUUUGGCUUGCCUCAAACCUUCUUUUUCCUCAAGAAAGCGCGAGGGGAGGAUCUGGUUCUUCACAACCUAACAAGCUAGGUGUUGCAUGCAUAUAUCCUCCCAAAAGAAAACAUGUGCAUUUUGUUUGAUUGCGUCGUGUUUGUAAAGUAUAAAUAGCUUCCCUUUGUAUAGUAACGCUUCAUUUUAAAUAUGACACUUGAUGAUCUUGAUAUAUCGUUUCAACUAGGAGUUAGAGCAUCUUGACUACUUAUAUUUGAACCCAUAUGUAUUUCUCCAAACACAUGGGGUCCUCUCAACUAGUUCUAUUUUAUAUACUACCAAAUACUACAAAAUGCCACUUUUUUAUACACAACAUAGAAGCACAUGUAAACCAAGGUUGAUGAUCGAGUGUUGAGUGCGUGAAUAAAGAGUGCAUACAUAGUGCGCGUAUUUUCUUCCAAGCACCCAUCAUGUCGAGUUUGGCCUUAUUUUUUUGUAAGAACGAAACAUGGUUGGCUAGCUGAACAAUUUCUAUCAUUACAAACUAGUAAUGGGUGAUAUCACUUAUCUCAACGGUAAUGAAAUUGUAACAUGUCGCUAUUAUGGACUGUUGAUCUUUAGAAAUCAAAAUCAUUACAUAACACUUAUAGAUCAAGAAGCCACAAAGUUACAAAUUCAUAUGUGUAGAAAUCCAUAUAAUAUGAUGGAUAUCGCAAUUAAUAACAUAUAUGUGGAUCAUUCGGCAAGCAAAUUAAUACAACAUAGGAAGGAAAACAAAAAAAAUUAUGCAUAAAAAAUUAGAUAAAACAGAACUAUGCUCUUUGCGAGACAGAGCAUUUUAUAGUAGUGUGCUAAGGUUGAUGGAUGAGGGAGACUAGUUGUGUAGAGAAUGAUUAUUAUUUUGGUCGUCAAUUCCAUGGACAAAGGAUCAAGCGAUGCGAAGCAUUCACCAAUUUCAAAUUUUGAAAAAAACUUAUCAUUUCAAGUAGCGAAUAUUCUAAAUAGAAAUGGAAUACGAACGCGUACACUUAUGAUCACCAUUUUCACAACCUAGAUAGGUAAAUUUUGUACCUAUUUUUUUCUUCAAGUUGUGAAUACGAUCUUAUCUCGUUUACCUGAAUCAUAACACUUUGGUUUUAGUAGCAAGUUGAGAAGGGGAAAGAGGUUUCAUAUAAUAUAAAGGGAAGUCAAAUCCUAGUUGUCCUCACAUCACUAGCAACUUUUUUCUACCAAUCAUAUCAAAAUUGGGGCAAAGGAAUGAAAAAAACAAUAACAACACGAAGGACUCAUGUUACCCAAAGUGGAAAUGGUACUCGCAUAUAUACGUUCAACUAGCAAAUCAAGCAAAACUACAAGAUAGCAAGGGGAAAAAGAAACUCGUGUGUUUAGAAAAUGGGUUGGGGUACUCACAUAGAUAAGGAUCGCUGGUUGACAAUAAAAGCAGUAGUAGAUAGUGAGUAGAACAAAAAAAUUGGUGCAUUUAUAAAUCUAGUUGGGAUAAUCACAUAUUUUGGAAGAAACACAUUGAGACAUAUUUGAUUGAUCCACACAAUAAUACAAGAUCUUAUUAUUAACCUGUAGUAUGGCAUAGCACUAUAUAUAAGUAAAAAAUGAGUCUUUAUAAAUAGAUCUACGUAUUCUCUAUAGUGGAGCAAAAUAUCUACACAAACUCACAUUGUAGCUGUCGGGCCAGGCUAAAGCCUGUAAAGUACAGUAUGUUCUUUGCGAUAACCACUUGCGCACUCAUCAAUGUUGUGAAUAGCAUGGCGUGUAUAAAGUGUUUGUUGCUCAUUCCAUGCCGCAAGCAUGCAAGCAAAGCCCCUCAUCCAUGGCGGCCGACUGGCGACUCCUAGUAGAGGAGAUGAAUAAAGGGCCCGGCCCCGGGCUCCUCCAUGAACUAGAUGACGUACCUCUCAUCAUCAACCAUCAUCCGCAGAGCAAAACUACAUGACUAGCGCCCCAGUAAAAGUUAUAACAGCGACAGCUAGGGCAGGACAGACAAAGGGAGUACUCCAUGUGGAAGCCGAUAAGAGAGAGAGAGAGAGAGAGAGAGAGGAGGUGAUGGCCAUGGCUGGCGGGUUGCCGCCGGGAUGUCCCCCACACACUGGCCACUGCAUCUCGACUCCUCCUCUUGGCAUCUGCCACAAAGAGUUAGCGCUACAUCAGCCAGCCAGACAGGCACUGUCCGUUGCAGGCAGGCAGGCAGGCUACGGCCUGAGGUAAAAUGGUUAAAAAGCUGGGGGUAAUGUACUAUGCCGCCGGUGGCCACAUGUGUACUGCGCUAAUGACACGCAGCAGGAGUCGCCAGAUCCUGUACUAAUGACACACAAAGAGACACAAAACCUUUUCUUUGUGUCAUUCUUGUCAUGCCCAGUGAUACUGUGAUAGAUGGAUUGGAUGGAGUAGAUCAUGGACAAUCUUUUAAGCCUAGUUAGUCUAUGAUUAGACAAUUUUUAUCAAAUACAAACGAAAUUGAUCUAGUAUCAUUUUUUUUAAAAAAAUGGAACUAAACAAGGCCGGCUAGCAAUGCAAAGACCACUACUCGUCAGCCCUGGCAAAUCAGCUAGCUAAGUUCUUGGGCCGAUUGACAAAAGCGACGUGGCAAUUAACUUGGCUACCUCUUUGCAUUGGCUCAAGAAUAAAAUUCGAUUUCUAUACUGACAAAACAUAACGUAGUGGCUUAUUUGGGUAAUAUUCUGCUAUAACCCUUUUCAUCUUUUUUUUUCUCAUGCAUGGCCUUUGUUGACAAAGAAAAAAAAGGAAACGCUACAUGUUAGGGUGCUAGAAAAAAUUGCCACGUUAUCAAAGACCCCAUAAUUGAAGCUUUCAAUGACAGAUGGAGUAAAUUGAUUUUUGGUCUUCGUCCAAAGUUGGUUCACACGCCUAGCAAAGGGUUGUGCGCAGUGACCAAGGAGACAUUAAUUUGGCCAGUGAAAGGAGUUGUAUGCAGAUGGUUGGAUUAAUUAGACCAGUGGGAGGAGCCGCAUAUGCUUGAAAAAAAAGGUAAAAAUAGUGGUCCCUAGUUUAGAUGACUUUAAUUUUUAAGAAUUUUUUUUAAGAUGACUCCGAUAAAUAAAUCGAGAGAUUACAUUGUAUUCUGCUGCCUCUUGCUGUAUGUGAAAGGGUUCACUUGCUUUGAGAGAAAAUUUUAGAAUCCUAAAUGUGUGCGGAGGGAGUAUUAUAUUAUUUAAAAGUCACAACAUCUAAGAGAUUACCAUAACUGAAGAGUGUCCUCUAGCAAUAAUAACAUUGAGUAGUGCAAUACCCCAUUAACAAGCACCUACAUUGCAUGAAUGAUGUAUUGUAGCAAAUUUACCCUUGCUGAAAUCCAGCCAUCCAGGGCUAGCUCCCGCACUCGGGCGAGAAUGGUUCUUUAUCGUCCUUGGAAUGUGGAUCUGAAAUUCUUGGGGGUUUGUUGCCACAUUCCUGAAAGAGAGAACUCGUUGUCUUUGGCUGGCGAGAUCGAUCGGCGAACGAAGCUACCUACACGACUAUGAUUGAUAGUACUAUCCUGCUGCUCUCUUGCUUUCGGCCUUCCGAUCCGCAGUUGGAUUUGAGCUAGUAGCUCUCUUGCUUCGGCCUGGCAACUACGGUAUGUUCACAACCAGAUUUUUCAAUUUCUCCUAGUAACGUGGGAUUCUCCUAGUGUUUUAGCAUUUAAAAUUUAGUAUAAACUUUUUCUAGUAAAUGCCUCCUAGUGAGGAUUUCCUAGUGUUUGACUAACUAAAAACACUAGAAAAAUUCCACCAAUUUUGGUAGUGGUUGGUCCAUGAUUGAUGACCGAGCGAUGAUCCAACAUAGCAGCAUCGAUCGGCAUGCAUACCGCAGCUAGGCGCAGGAUACUGCAUGCAUGCAGGCAUGCUGCGCCAACGAAAGCCGAGCCGAAUCAUGUCGCAUGGCGCUCGUCACGAGCUACAGAGCUAGGGUACUUUUUUUUUAAUAUUCGAUAAGAUGAGGUGAUUUAUUUGUUUUUUUUAAGAAACUAAAAGACCUUAGUCCAAGGUAGUACUAGGGUCUGUUUAGUUCGUAUCUUGAAAAGUUGAGGAAUUUUAUAGUGCUUGGAAAUAAUGAGAACCAUCCAUUUAGUUAAAUCAGAUGGUUAAGAAAUAGAAAGAACCUACUCAGAGGAACUUAAGCUGUGGGCCGGAACUAAAAUCUAGUUGGCUCGGAACUGACUUUAGAUAAAUUGUGGAGGUUAGAAUGGUACUUUUGCGUGGAUCUACUGGCCAUGGAUCGAAAAAGCUGUCUUCCUUAAGGCAAAUGCCGGCCAUGUCGGACUGCACUGACUCGCCACCUACAAGCUUACGCGCGGACGCAAGCACUGGCUGUUGACCGCUACCUCCGUCGGUUUAGCCAUAGGCGGGCCAGAGCUUAGUAAGAGAGGCAUGGUGGCACCAUUGGGUCUCGACAUGGCCGUGGCUACGGUGGCAGUGGUGAUGGGACGCGGCCAUGUGCGAGGAAGGCGCAACACGCCGGCUCAGACGAGCACGAGACGGACAUAGGUAACACAACUGCUUUCUAGGUUACACAAGGAGUACAAAGUUCAAAAAAAAAUUGAUCUGUUCAUUCGUUGAUUUAUUACACUUGGCCGCAGAUGUUUGAAUCGUGGAGGUCAAAUAAGGCCUUGUUUAGUUCCCAAAAAAUUUUGCAAAAUUUUUCAGAUUCUUCGUCACAUCAAAUCUUUAGACGCAUGCAUGGAGUAUUAAAUAUAAACGAAAAUAGAAACUAAUUGCAUAGUUUGGUCGGAAUUGAUGAGAUGAAUCUUUUGAGCCUAGUUAGUCCAUUAUUGGACAAUAUUUAUCACAAACAAACAAAAAUGCUGCAGUACCUGUUUUGCAAAAUUUUUUGGAACUAAACAAGGCCUAAGUGCAGGCCGGUGACAGAUGGGAAGCAACAGCUAGCAGAUCGGUGAUGGGAGGAGGAAGGAAGGCUACCGAGCCCCACCCAACAGGCGGAUGACCUGGAGACUACCAAGCCCAAGCAGAUGGUUGGUGCAGAGCUCGUGAAGGUGGCCGACGGUGAUCCCAUAUGGUGGCCCAUACAAACGGUCGGUGGUGAGCUCCUCCAAAUUGCCGGUGGUGAUCCCCCAACAGUCAGGCGCUGGCACCGAUGAGCCUUUGAGGCGGCAGCGAGCCCUUCUCCAUAUCGAUGCGGCUUUCAAUUCAUCCCAGAGAGAGAGAAAGAAGACGUGGGGGCAACUUAGAAUACACUAGAAUGAUCCAAUUACCCCUAAUUACUUUUAACUAACGAAAAAACUCCACACGAGGAACCACAGGUUCUUCCCAAGCACCGUAACAAACCUCUGAAAAGUUUUGUAUACUCCCUCUAUACCCGAAUUAGUUGACGUUUAGGAUAAGAUUGUGGUAACCAAGGAGUAAUUAACUAAGGGUUAGUUUUCCUACUUUGCCCUUAUUAAAUAGCACUGCGGGUGUUUACUUUACAACAAUUUAGCGUAGCACAGUUGGUGAGUCCUUCGCAGCCUGAGGCUAGUGGCCGCGGUUCGACUCCCCAGUGCGCAAUUUUUUUUGCUGGAGCGCAGCCUGAUAGGCCCGUGCGUGAGGCUGCCACUCAUCCACGCGCAUGAAGGAAGCAAAGGCGUGCGGGCCAAGGAGGCAUUCAAUGCCAAUGCUCAGUUUUGUCAGGGACAUUCACGUCAAGUUUUCUCUUCUACAGUGCAGAACACGUCAGCUUUUGAGAAAAUGGUAAAGUCGUCCAAAACGUCAACUAUUUGAGGUAUGGAGGGAGUACUAUAGUAUAUAAUUAAUUCGUUUGAUUGAUAGUCAGGGCACUUAUAAUGUAAACUUUAUUAUAUAGUCUAAAGUUAUUUAUUACUUCGAACAAUGUGGACUUAGAGUCUAAAUAAAACUUGAAGUCUUAUUUUUUCUACAUUUUUCUUCAAUAAAUAUGUUGGCACAUCAGUAAAAUACCAUAAAUAUAUAUAAUUAAUUGUCUUAUACUCUGUGAUAGAGUUUUACAUUGUGAAUGUCGUCGUGGCAGAGAACUAGUAGUGUAGUGUGGGUCGACCAGGCGCUCGCGUCGUUCGAUGGAUCUCCCUCCAUUUGUGUUCGACGGCGCCACCGUCCGUCCGCGGUCCGUCUCAUGCGCAGGCGGCAGGCCUAGGGCAUGUGUAGCGUGGUAGCGAAGCGGGUGUCACUGCACUCACCCGCCGCUGCGCGCGCCCUUUUCUUUGACGCGCAUGCAUGAAGGCAGAAGCAGCAAGCGCACACGCAUCUCCAGAUGUUUUAUCAAAGUUUCAUGAAUAUUAAAUUUGAUAAUAUGUAUAUUAAUGAUAAUAAAAUGAUAAGAAUUUUAUUGAAUAAACAGAGUUUUAUAAAGAUAAAAACUUUUUUAUAUUAUUUUCAAAAUAUAGAUACUUUAAAAAUUGAGUUAUGAAAUCUCCACUAAAUAUGAUCUUAGUACCCUGACUAGAUAAGCAGCCGGCUAGCUAAACGCCAAUGAUCAGCUAGCGUUCAAAGCGCGCGCCAUGGCCGGCGGCCCACACAGAUGAUACACCACCAGGCCGGCCGGGCCCCGGGCAUACACGGGUGACGCCGUGACGGUGGCAUGCAUGCAUGCGCGUUACAGGUCCGUGUUGCAUGCAUUGCAAGAGCAACCACAAUGUAUAUCGACCAAGUAGUCCAUAUACAUAGGACCCACAUAACUAGUCCAUAGCUAUUGUUUUCUUCUCACAAUGUAUAUGGACUAAGUAGUCUAUAAGAUGGGACCCAAAGAGAAUAAAAAAUUAUUUAUCUUCAUUCCACCAGCCACUACAAGGAGAGAGAGAUGGAAAGAAGUAAGUAAAUAAAAUUUUUUAUUCUCUAUGGAUAGUCCAUAAGCUUAUGGAUACCUUUUACUAUGGACUACUCUAUGGACUGGUCUCACACUGUUUCAGCUAGCUGAUACAAAUUAUUAUAAUGCCUAUGGACUACUUUUGAGCAACAUUGUGGUUGCUCUGCAAUAGCUCAUCGCUGAUGCCGGCCUGGCCUGGUAACUAGCGGCGGCCGGCGGCAGCUGCUACGCUAAGCGCUGCGAUCCGCAGGCGCCAUCGACGCGACAACACCCAACACUCCAAGUGCAAACGACAAGGCAACGUAAGAGGUGGUCCCUCCGAUCCGUUUGAAAUCAAAAGAAUGUAAUUAUUAUGGGAGACGUGUCGGUUAAAUCAAAUUUAUAAUAAUAAUAUUAUUAUUAUUAGUAUUUAUGUCUCCACAUAAAUUUGUUAUGAAAAAAUAUAUAUACUAGUGUGGCAGAACCACCCUAAUUAUAUGGCCCACAUGCACUUGACAUUGUCCUUAAGACCUCUGACUACUGCACAUGAGAGUCAUAUAACUUGGAUAGUCUGUCGGGUGCCCUCGGAGGACCCCGAAUCAUCCACAUUUUAACUCGUACAGGAUCAACAUGGAGUUACCACAACAUUACAACAUUUGUUACAAAAAUAACUUACAUCAGAGUGCGGAAGAUUUAUAACUUAAUUUACAACAUAUGAUGAAAUACAAACUUAACUAAAUUUCUAAAAGGUGUAUAGAGUAGCGGAAGCAUCUUAGGUGAAGCUUCUAAGGUAGAAGAGGUGGAUAAAUCAUGUCGCGCCCACCGACAUGACCUCCAUUAGCAGACUAAGUCAGCACCUGCAACAGGGGUUAUAAAACCCUGAGUACAAAAGUACUCAACAAGACUUAACCGACUAGAAAAGAGAUGAAGACUCAGGUAUGCAGGCUAUAGGGAUUCAAGGUAAAGCUUUAUCAAGAUAAAGCAUUUCUUUUGCAUAAAAGCUUACUAAGAUUAAACCUACUUUCAAGUUUUAACUCAAGGUUAUCAUUUAUGACUAACCAAAACUAUUAUCAAACUUGCAUAAGCAUACCACAUCUUUCUUAUACCAAAGAUUCACUUGUUACUACGAUGAUGGUGUGAGGAUUGAGGCUCCAUAUCCGAGGAAACACGGCGAUUCGAAUCGAUUAAACCCAGCUGGGGAUUCAGUACCACACGACAUAUGUAGAACUUAAUCUUGCAUAUGUCAACCUUUUCUAUAGAUCCUCCCAUACAAGAACGGGUCCAGCGUCACCCGAGAGUACAGUACACCACCAUCCUACAGCCAAUCUAGAUGUUUCCCGGUCAUCUCAGAUCCGUAAGGUGGGUACACGCUACUCUCGCCAUCUUUCCACUCCCAGUACGCGGUUAGCCGUUCUCAAGUAUCGGAAUAGCUAUAGGUAAGGCUUACCGCCGCAUGUGGGCUGUACUCAAAGGUCUCAAUCACAACAGGCCAAUCAACGGUACGGUCCUUAAUCGACACAGUUGGAGACACUACUUUAAGACUCCAUUCUUAAAGCAAGUCCACCGACCGGUCUCAAAUUGAACAUCAUUAACUAUAAGAGUAUUCCACAACGACCCUUCAAACGUUCUCAUUUGAAAACUUAUCUAAUAAGCAGGGCUAAGCAUACUAAGCAUUUUCAUAAAGCAGGUAUCAAGGUUAAUAUGGAAAUCAUCAAGGUAGAUAAUGCAGCAAAUAGGAUUCACUCAACUCCUAUUCACCUAAUGCAUCAUAUUAACUCAAGUGAUAUAAAUAACUUUAUGAAAAUACAAGGAUAGGGUUUAAUGUCCGGGGCUUGCCUUGACCGGAAGGGAAGUCCGACAACUCAGCAAAACCAGAUGGAUCCACAAACUCGGAAGCAACCCACUGAGGAUC